CCUACGGGAGGCAGCAGUGGGGAAUAUUGGACAAUGGGCGAAAGCCUGAUCCAGCCAUGCCGCGUGUGUGAAGAAGGUCUUCGGAUUGUAAAGCACUUUAAGUUGGGAGGAAGGGUUGUAGAUUAAUACUCUGCAAUUUUGACGUUACCGACAGAAUAAGCACCGGCUAACUCUGUGCCAGCAGCCGCGGUAAUACAGAGGGUGCAAGCGUUAAUCGGAAUUACUGGGCGUAAAGCGCGCGUAGGUGGUUUGUUAAGUUGGAUGUGAAAUCCCCGGGCUCAACCUGGGAACUGCAUCCAAAACUGGCAAGCUAGAGUAUGGUAGAGGGUGGUGGAAUUUCCUGUGUAGCGGUGAAAUGCGUAGAUAUAGGAAGGAACACCAGUGGCGAAGGCGAUCACCUGGACUGAUACUGACACUGAGGUGCGAAAGCGUGGGGAGCAAACAGGAUUAGAUACCCUGGUAGUCCACGCCGUAAACGAUGUCAACUAGCCGUUGGGAGCCUUGAGCUCUUAGUGACGCAGCUAACGCAUUAAGUUGACCGCCUGGGGAGUACGGCCGCAAGGUUAAACUCGAAAGGAAUUGACGGCUGAGACGAGCGAGACGACGACGAGGGAGGAGG
rnacentral:rRNA from 1 species